UACGUAGGGUGCAAGCGUUGUCCGGAAUUAUUGGGCGUAAAGAGCUCGUAGGCGGUCUGUCGCGUCGGCUGUGAAAACCCGGAGCUCAACUCCGGGCCUGCAGUCGAUACGGGCAAACUGGAGUGUUGCAGGGGAGACUGGAAUUCCUGGUGUAGCGGUGAAAUGCGCAGAUAUCAGGAGGAACACCGGUGGCGAAGGCGGGUCUCUGGGCCGAUAUUGACGCUGAGGCGCGAAAGCCAGGGGAGCAAACGGG
rnacentral:rRNA from 1 species